rnacentral:rRNA from 1 species
GACUCCUACGGGAGGCAGCAGUGAGGAAUAUUGGACAAUGGGCGAGAGCCUGAUCCAGCCAUGCCGCGUGCAGGAAGACGGCCCUAUGGGUUGUAAACUGCUUUUAUACAGGAAGAAACACUCCCUCGUGAGGGAGCUUGACGGUACUGUAAGAAUAAGGACCGGCUAACUCCGUGCCAGCAGCCGCGGUAAUACGGAGGGUCCGAGCGUUAUCCGGAAUUAUUGGGUUUAAAGGGUCCGUAGGCGGGCAGCUAAGUCAGUGGUGAAAGUCUGCAGCUCAACUGUAGAAUUGCCAUUGAUACUGGUUGUCUUGAAUUAUUAUGAAGUGGUUAGAAUAUGUAGUGUAGCGGUGAAAUGCAUAGAUAUUACAUAGAAUACCAAUUGCGAAGGCAGAUCACUAAUAAUAUAUUGACGCUGAUGGACGAAAGCGUGGGGAGCGAACAGGAUUAGAUACCCUGGUAGUCCACGCCGUAAACGAUGGAUACUAGCUGUUCGAUCUUCGGAUUGAGUGGCUAAGCGAAAGUGAUAAGUAUCCCACCUGGGGAGUACGUUCGCAAGAAUGAAACUCAAAGGAAUUGACGGGGGCCCGCACAAGAGAU